rnacentral:rRNA from 1 species
CCUACGGGAGGCAGCAGUGGGGAAUCUUGCACAAUGGGGGAAACCCUGAUGCAGCGACGCCGCGUGAGUGAAGAAGUAUUUCGGUAUGUAAAGCUCUAUCAGCAGGGAAGAAAAUGACGGUAACUGAUGCAGAAGCGCCGGCUAACUACGUGCCAGCAGCCGCGGUAAUACGUAGGGGGCAAGCGUUAUCCGGAUUUACUGGGUGUAAAGGGAGCGUAGACGGCAGCACAAGUCUGGAGUGAAAUGCCCGGGCUUAACCCGGGGACUGCUUUGGAAACUGUGCAGCUAGAGUGCAGGAGGGGUAAGUGGAAUUCUUAGGGUAGCAGUGAAAUGCGUAGAUAUUAGGAGGAACACCAGUGGCGAAGGCGGCUUCCUGGACUGUAACUGACGUUGAGGCUCGAAAGCGUGGGGAGCAAACAGGAUUAGAUACCCUGGUAGUC